rnacentral:rRNA from 1 species
UACGGGGGGAGCAAGCGUUGUUCGGAUUUACUGGGCGUAAAGGGUGCGUAGGCGGGCUGCCAAGUCAGGGGUGAAAUCGUUCGGCCCAACCGGACAAGGGCCCCUGAUACUGGUGGCCUCGAGGGAGGUAGGGGUCGAUGGAACUUCCGGUGGAGCGGUGAAAUGCGUAGAUAUCGGAAGGAACGCCGGUGGCGAAAGCGAUCGACUGGACCUCUUCUGACGCUGAGGCACGAAAGCCAGGGGAGCAAACGGG